UAGAAAUCAACAUUAAAUGAUUGCGAGGGUGGAGGAAGCUGUUCCAGAUUCAGCAGCAGUUCUAUAGCGAGCUUCUCCAGCUCUGAUACCCAAGGCAGCAGCAUGAAACAUGGAACCUUUAAAGAAAACUGACAGCUGAGUCAUUUAAUUGAUGAGUCCAGUCCACUGACUCAAAAACCAGCAGAACUGUUAUAUGCAAAUUAGCUGCAAGAUGGCUGACGACUGGUUGAAUUACUGCUGAAAUCAAAACAGCUCAACUUCAUACUUCUCUGACCUGUUGAGAUGAUCUUUCCUGUUGACAUUAUUCAUAUAAAUACAUAGCAGAGUGUAAUGGAUUUCCAUUGGAGCCCAUUUUGGUUUUGUAUCACACCGUUUUGGGGGGCUAUAGUGCAUUGAACCAUUCUGCUUACCUGUCCCCCUGGAUAAUUCUACCUGGAACAAAGAGGUUACUGGAAAAGGAGGUGUUUGGUUUUUCAACAAAUGCAAAUACUCAAAAAUUUUCACAGAGAGAUGUUCAGAUGCAAAGUCAAUUGUUCAAUGAAAAAUAAUUUCAAUGGUAAAUUUUCAACCAGCCCUAAUUCUAACUUGGAAGGAACAUAGAAAUCAAUUGCAAGCCAUUGAAAAAUGGCAAAAAUCUCUAUCAUGUGGAUCAGCUACCUGUACAUACAAACACAUUCACCCAUUCAGGUUAAUCUAAACUGCCAGGGAAAGACCUGUUUUUCUCUAGGGAACACAACACUUAAAUAAAAUGGGAAGAUUUUAACAAGCAUUGAGCACUCAGCAUCCCGAAGCUUCAGGAUCUCUACCAAGCAUUUAUAAACCUCAACUACCCACCCAGAGAAAUAAAAAAGCAAAUUG